rnacentral:lncRNA from 1 species
GAGUUAAGUGACUGCAGCUGGCCUGUGACUGUCAUCAGAAACACCUGCCCUCUUUACCCAGUCUUUGGGUUAGAGUUAGUAGCUUAUUUCAUACAUGGGACAAAAUCCUCCCCAUCUGACUCAUAUGUAUAUAAACAUACACACAAACAUACAUAUAUAAACAUAUAUAUAUAUAUAUAUAUACACACACAAACAUAUAUACAUACAUAUAUAGACACACACAAACAUUCAUACAUAUAUAAACAUACACACACAUGCAUACAUAGAUACAUAUAUAAACAAAUAUAUAAACAUACAUAUGUGCAUACAUCCAUGAGUUAAUAACAAGAUGUGGAACAGGACUGCCAGUAAAUAGUGGGAAAUAGGAAACCUCCCCCUCUAGCAUAAAGAAGUGCUCUUAUAUAAACAAUUCAUCUUAUAAUGACUGGAGUUUGUUUUAAAGAUUUAUUUUUAUUUAUGUGUAUGCCUGUGUGAGUGACUGCCGUGUGUGUGUGUGUGUGUGUGUGUGUGUGUGUGUGUGUGUGAGAGAGAGAGAGAGAGAGAGAGAGCGCUCACAGAGGCCAGAAGGGGGUGUCAAGUACCCUGGAGCUGGAGUUCCAGGUAACGUGGGUGCUGGAAAAUGAGCUCUGGCCUCUGGAAGAGCAGCAAGGGCUUGUAACUGCUGAGCCAUCUCUCCAACAUUAGCUUUAAGUCCAGCAUUUCUUCAAAAGUAAAACAAUAAAGAAGACCUUGCCCUU